UGAAACCCUGUCUCUACUAAAAUAAAAUAUAAAAAUUAGCCGGGCAUGGUGGCACGAGCCUGUAGUCCCAGCUACUCAGGAGGCUGACGCAGGGGAAUGGCUUGAACCAGGGAGGCGGAGGUUGCAGUGAGCUGAGACUGCACCACUGCACUCCAGCCUGGUGACAGAGCAAGACUUUGUCUCAAAAAAAAAAAAAGAAAAAAACAAGUUGUAUGGAAGGAGGACAUCAUUA
rnacentral:lncRNA from 1 species